UACGUAGGGUGCAAGCGUUGUCCGGAAUUAUUGGGCGUAAAGGGCGCGUAGGCGGCUUUGCAAGUGGCGGGUGAAAUCCCUCGGCUUAACCGAGGAACUGCCUGCCAGACUGUGAGGCUUGAGACCGGGAGAGGUGAGUGGAAUUCCCAGUGUAGCGGUGAAAUGCGUAGAUAUCAGGAGGAACACCGGUGGUGUAGACGGCUUACUGGACCAUGACUGACGCUGAGGCACGAAAGCGUGGGGAGCAAACAGG
rnacentral:rRNA from 1 species